GAUGAACGCUAGCUGGAGGCUUAAUACAUGCAAGUCGAGCGGGAUUGGGUAGCAAUACCCAUGAGAGCGGCGCACGGGUGAGUAACGCGUACACGACCUACCUCUAACAGGGGGAUAGCCCUGGGAAACUGGGAUUAAUACCGCCUAUUAUUCUGAAUAAUAAAGGUUUGGAAUGAAAGCUGAGGCGGUUAGAGAUGGGUGUGCGUCUGAUUAGCUAGUUGGUAGGGUAACGGCCUACCAAGGCGAUGAUCAGUAGGGGGCGUGAGAGCGUGGUCCCCCACACGGGUACUGAGACACGGACCCGACUCCUACGGGAGGCAGCAGUAAGGAAUAUUGGUCAAUGGGCGAAAGCCUGAACCAGCCAUCCAGCGUGCAGGAAGAAGGCCCUAUGGGUUGUAAACUGCUUUUAUCAGGGAAGAAACCUCUGGAUUUACUCCGGAGCUGACGGUACCUGAAGAAUAAGCACCGGCUAACUCCGUGCCAGCAGCCGCUGUAACAC
rnacentral:rRNA from 1 species